rnacentral:rRNA from 1 species
AGGAAUUACUGUUGCGGGUUAACGCUCGUAGUUGGGUAUUUGCUGAAAACCAACGGUCGACCCCAGUGGUAAGUACUUGUUGCGUCCUCUGCGUCUUUCUGGUUAAUGUAUUUACACUUAAAUGUGUGGCGGAGGCCAGUGUUUUUUACUUUGAGGAAAUGAGAGUGCUUUAAACAGGCGUCUGCCGUGAAUAUGCUAGCAUGGAAUAACAUUAUAGACCGCGUUCUCAAUCUGUUGGUUUUUAGAGCGAAGUAAUCCCAAAAGGAAUAGUUGGGGGUAUUUGUAUUUUACUGUCAGAGGUGAAAUUCUUAGAUCUUUAAAAGACGAGCUACUGCGAAAGCAUCUUCCCAGUAUGUUUUUAUUAAUCAAGAACGAAAGUUAGGGGAUCGAAGACGAUCAGAUACCGUCCUAGUCUUAACAUUAAACCAUGCCGACCAGAGAUUGGCGUCGUCGAAAUAUAGACGACAUCGGCGUCUCGAGAGAAAUCAAAGUCUUUGGGUUCCGGGGGGAGUAUGGUCGCAAGGCUGAAACUUAAAGGAAUUGACGGAAGGGCACCACCAGGAGUGGAGCUUGCGGCUUAAUUUGACUCAACACGGGGAAACUCACUAGGUCCAAACGUAGGGAGGAUUGACAGACUGAUAGCUCUUUCUUAAUUUUAUGGGUGGUGGUGCAUGGGCCGUUCUUAGUUGGUGGAGCGAUUUGUCUGGUUAAUUCCGUUAACGAACGAGACCUUAACCUGUUAACUAAUUCUCGAGAAUACCAGAUUCGCACUGAG